AAACUUCACCGAGAGCAUUUCUCUCUUUUUCGAUGUAUAUUUUAUAAUUAUGUGUUUGAAAAUAAAGUUUUCUUUUUAAAAAGGUGUUUGGUUACCCCAGAACUAUAACUGGCGCCCGAACUACCUUCCUUACGUUUUUUCGAGGUUGUUCAUUUAACAACAAGUUUUUUUCGAUUCGCGAUCUUUAAUUUCGACUUCGUGAAAAAUCCGGAAAACCAGUGAGUGAGGUGAACCCUUCAAGACAAGUUCUCUGCGUACCACACCUGCGACCUUCGAAGUUCAACCUGGCAGACAACGAAGACUCCUUCCACAAAUUUGAGACGGAAGUAAAACUACCAUCAACUGACGUGAUGGUACUGCCCCUAAUUCUCCUGUUGCUGGCCCCAGCAACGUCUUAUAAGAUGGUAGAUUUGAGCAGAACAUCUGGUAUUGCUCCAAUCAAGAUACAGAAUUCUCAUAUAAUUAAUGAAACUUUCACCUAUGUUCAUAAUAUUAAUACUAGUUAUUUACGUUUAGAAUUAAGUAAUAUUGAAACAUUUGUUGAUUUUCUCGCUAAAAGGAAUAAUAUUGAUAAGAGUCGCUUAAGUAUGAUGAAAUUGAAUUUGAAAUA